UUACAGAACGCCCGCGGCUUCGGCCUGGUUAUUCAUAACCCUUUGUUGUCCGACUCUGUUGCCUCCGGGGCGACCCUGCCUUCGGGCGGGGGCUCCGGGUGGACACUUCAAACUCUUGCGUAACUUUGCAGUCUGAGUAAACUUAAUUAAUAAAUUAAAACUUUUAACAACGGAUCUCUUGGUUCUGGCAUCGAUGAAGAACGCAGCGAAAUGCGAUAAGUAAUGUGAAUUGCAGAAUUCAGUGAAUCAUCGAAUCUUUGAACGCACAUUGCGCCCCCUGGUAUUCCGGGGGGCAUGCCUGUUCGAGCGUCAUUUCACCACUCAAGCCUCGCUUGGUAUUGGGCAACGCGGUCCGCCGCGUGCCUCAAAUCGUCCGGCUGGGUCUUCUGUCCCCUAAGCGUUGUGGAAACUAUUCGCUAAAGGGUGUUCGGGAGGCUACGCCGUAAAACAACCCCAUUUCUAAGGUUGACCUCGGAUCAGGUAGGGAUACCCGCUGAACUUAAGCAUA
rnacentral:rRNA from 1 species